UACGAAGGGUGCAAGCGUUACUCGGAAUUACUGGGCGUAAAGCGUGCGUAGGUGGUUUUUUAAGUCCGUUGUGAAAGCCCUGGGCUCAACCUGGGAAUGGCAGUGGAUACUGGAAAGCUAGAGUGCGGUAGAGGGUAGUGGAAUUCCCGGUGUAGUGGUGAAAUGCGUAGAUAUCGGGAGGAACACCAGUGGCGAAGGCGACUACCUGGCCUGUUCUUGACGCUGAGGCGCGAAAGCUAGGGGAGCAAACGGG
rnacentral:rRNA from 1 species